CAGCCUUCCCUGCUCCAGGCUGGACAAGCCCAGCUCCCUCAGCCUCUGCUCACAGCCCAGGGGCUCCAGCCCCACCUUGGAGGCCCUUCCCUAACCCUGCUCCAGCUGCCAGACAUCUUUCCUGUCCUGGGGAACCCAACCCAGGCCAUAGGGACCUGGAUAAUCCACAUCCUUGAUGUCCUGGUCACACAGCCCUGGCUCCUUGUCCCCAUGUCAGGCUCUGGGGUGGAUCCUGUGGAACAUCCUUUGGUGGAGGCUGUGGCUCCAGGGGGACCGGGGGGAUACCGGGGGACAGGGACCCUGCUGGGCAUGAACAGCAUUGGACUUGUUGGGAGAAACUGUGAGGGGGAGCUGGGGCGGAGUGACCAACCCAGUGACCUCACAGAGCCCUCCUGGGAUGUCACACAGCCCCUCUCUGAUGUCUCAGCCUGCUCUGUGAGGUCACAGCCCAAUCUCUAAUGUCACACAGCUGGUUUCUGAUGUCACAGCCAACUCUGCGAUGUCACAGCCAGCUCUGUGAUGUCACAGAGACUGUCUUUGAUGCCGUAGCUGCUCGAUGACCUCACAUAACCCACUCUGUGAUGUCAUAGCCCACUCUGUGACCUCAUGUUACCAGAUGAUAAAUUGUCUCCACCAGGUGAGCUGACACCUGGAGCUUGUUCUCCAAAACCCCAGGCCCAUGGAAACCACACAGUGCCCAUUGUGGGAGAAGGGGAACUGGAAGUUCACCAGCCUCAGUGUCCUGCCAGCUCAGCCAGGCCCACGGGAACAUUGGGGUCCACGACCACCAGGGACCACCAGAGAGACCCCCAGGACAGAAGAACACAUGGAAUAUGAACAGAAACUUUCCUGCACUCAGCAUGCUCGGCUUUGGGAGGAGCUAUCCCCUGUGCAUCCAGCUGAAUAAAGAAUGCUGCUUCUUAAUGCUGCACUGGUGUUAA